GCUCAUCUAAGUAAUCACUAGUGCAAGAAAUCCAAUAAUUUCGUACAGGUCUUGUAAUUGCUUGAUUAAAAUUUUCGAGCUACCUCAACUUAAGAAAUUCGAUCCCAAAUUCAAAAUUUUCAAUACCAAUAAAAAUCAACUUAUUACAUCACCACUUGCAAAUAAUACAUUUUCCUUUCUGAUAAGCUUGCAACCUCCAACAGGAUCAAAACCAGGAGGCAGAUUUCCACUUGGGAUUGACUCUAUCUGCAGAAUAGAAAAGUUCCAUGGAUUGUGAUGCGCAAGUCCAGUAUUACAAUUGAAAAAAUAAGGUAAAAUUGAAAAAACAUGAAGCUGAAGAUCUGUUGUUAAUUUUGAUGCACAAGUCCAGUAUUACAAUUUCAGGCAUCAUAAAAUGUUUUGUAAAACUAUCCAGGCACUCACACAUUUGGUAGCACAUAAAGCAUAAGAAAGGAAACUCUAUGAGAGGUUAACAUAAAGCAUGCUUCACUCAGUAAUACCAUAUAUACGAUGUCAUAAUAGGCAAAUCAUACAUGAUAUAUUUGUCACUAGAUCUUACAGAAGUGAAACUAACAUGCUAAAGCUGCCCAUCGAUUGAUCCAAGCCCAAAUUUACACCUAAUUUCU
rnacentral:lncRNA from 1 species